UGUGCAGGCGGUUGUUUAAGUUUGGUGUGAAAUCUCCCGGCUCAACUGGGAGGGUGCGCCGAAUACUGAAUGACUUGGAGUGCGGGAGAGGAAAGUGGAAUUCCUGGUGUAGCGGUGAAAUGCGUAGAUAUCAGGAGGAACACCGGUGGUGUAGACGGCUUUCUGGACCGUAACUGACGCUGAGACACGAAAGCGUGGGUAGCAAACA
rnacentral:rRNA from 1 species